rnacentral:rRNA from 1 species
GCUCUAUAACCCUUUGUGACGUACCUAACCGUUGCUUCGGC